CGAACGCUGGCGGCGUGCUUAACACAUGCAAGUCGAACGGAAAGGCCCUGCUUUUGUGGGGUGCUCGAGUGGCGAACGGGUGAGUAACACGUGAGUAACCUGCCCUUGACUUUGGGAUAACUUCAGGAAACUGGGGCUAAUACCGGAUAGGAGCUCCUGCUGCAUGGUGGGGGUUGGAAAGUUUCGGCGGUUGGGGAUGGACUCGCGGCUUAUCAGCUUGUUGGUGGGGUAGUGGCUUACCAAGGCUUUGACGGGUAGCCGGCCUGAGAGGGUGACCGGCCACAUUGGGACUGAGAUACGGCCCAGACUCCUACGGGAGGCAGCAGUGGGGAAUAUUGCACAAUGGGCGGAAGCCUGAUGCAGCAACGCCGCGUGCGGGAUGACGGCCUUCGGGUUGUAAACCGCUUUCGCCUGUGACGAAGCGUGAGUGACGGUAAUGGGUAAAGAAGCACCGGCUAACUACGUGCCAGCAGCCGCGGUGAUACGUAGGGUGCGAGCGUUGUCCGGAUUUAUUGGGCGUAAAGGGCUCGUAGGUGGUUGAUCGCGUCGGAAGUGUAAUCUUGGGGCUUAACCCUGAGCGUGCUUUCGAUACGGGUUGACUUGAGGAAGGUAGGGGAGAAUGGAAUUCCUGGUGGAGCGGUGGAAUGCGCAGAUAUCAGGAGGAACACCAGUGGCGAAGGCGGUUCUCUGGGCCUUUCCUGACGCUGAGGAGCGAAAGCGUGGGGAGCGAACAGGCUUAGAUACCCUGGUAGUCCACGCUGUAAACGGUGGGUACUAGGUGUGGGGGUCCAUUCCACGGGUUCCGUGCCGUAGCUAACGCUUUAAGUACCCCGCCUGGGGAGUACGGCCGCAAGGCUAAAACUCAAAGGAAUUGACGGGGCCCCGCACAAGCGGCGGAGCAUGCGGAUUAAUUCGAUGCAACGCGUAGAACCUUACCUGGGUUUGACAUGGAUCGGGAGUGCUCAGAGAUGGGUGUGCCUCUUUUGGGGUCGGUUCACAGGUGGUGCAUGCCUGUCGUCAGCUCGUGUCGUGAGAUGUUGGGUUAAGUCCCGCAACGAGCGCAACCCUUGUUCACUGUUGCCAGCACGUUAUGGUGGGGACUCAGUGGAGACCGCCGGGGUCAACUCGGAGGAAGGUGGGGAUGACGUCAAGUCCUCAUGCCCCUUAUGUCUAGGGCUUCACGCAUGCUACAAUGGCUGGUACAGAGAGUGGCGAGCCUGUGAGGGUGAGCGAAUCUCGGAAAGCCGGUCUCAGUUCGGAUUGGGGUCUGCAACUCGACCUCAUGAAGUCGGAGUCGCUAGUAAUCGCAGAUCAGCAACGCUGCGGUGAAUACGUUCCCGGGGCUUGUACACACCGCCCGUCAAGUCAUGAAAGUUGGUAACACCCGAAGCCGGUGGCCUAACCGUUGUGGGGGAGCCGUCGAAGGUGGGACUGGU
rnacentral:rRNA from 1 species